UGCUUCCUAUUUGUUAAGGCUGGCGGAAAACAGAAAAUGGGGUUAAAGAUGAGUUGACGUGGGGCCUUGGGACGAAGCGGGGGACCAUUGUGGAAACAGGGGCUACCACCGCAUAAUGGGUAGGAACCGCUUGGUUCCAACUUGACUGAUGGCUCUGCUAUCCCUUUGGGAUGGACCCGCGCCGUAUUAGUUAGUUGGUGAGAUAAAAGCCCACCAAGACUAUGAUACGUACCCAACCUGAGAGGGUAAUCGGCCACAUUGGGACUGAGACACGGCCCAGACUCCUACGGGAGGCAGCAGUAGGGAAUCUUCCACAAUGGACGAAAGUCUGAUGGAGCAACGCCGCGUGAGUGAUGAAGGUUUUCGGAUCGUAAAACUCUGUUGUUAAAGAAGAACAAGUGUUAGAGUAACUGUUAACACUUUGACGGUAUUUAACCAGAAAGCCACGGCUAACUACGUGCCAGCAGCCGCGGUAAUACGUAGGUGGCAAGCGUUGUCCGGAUUUAUUGGGCGUAAAGCGAGCGCAGGCGGUUUUGUAAGUCUGCUGUGAAAGCCCUCAGCUCAACUGAGGAAGUGCAGUGGAAACUACAAAACUUGAGUACAGAAGAGGAAAGUGGAUCUCCAUGUGUAGCGGUGAAAUGCGUAGAUAUAUGGAAGAACACCAGUGGCGAAGGCGGCUUUCUGGUCUGUUACUGACGCUGAGGCUCGAAAGCAUGGGUAGCGAACAGGAUUAGAUACCCUGCUAGUCCAUGCCGUAAACGAUGAAUACUAGGUGUUGGAGGGUUUCCGCCCUUCAGUGCCGCAGCUAACGCAUUAAGUAUUCCGCCUGGGGAGUACGACCGCAAGGUUGAAACUCAAAGGAAUUGACGGGGGCCCGCACAAGUGGUGGAGCAUGUGGUUUAAUUCGAUGCUACGCGAAGAACCUUACCAGCUCUUGACAUCUUCUGCCAACCCAAGAGAUUGGGCGUUCCCUUCGGGGACAGAAUGACAGGUGGUGCAUGGUUGUCGUCAGCUCGUGUCGUGAGAUGUUGGGUUAAGUCCCGCAACGAGCGCAACCCUUAUUAUUAGUUGCCAGCAUUUAGUUGGGCACUCUAGUGAGACUGCCGGUGAUAAACCGGAGGAAGGUGGGGACGACGUCAAAUCAUCAUGCCCCUUAUGAGCUGGGCUACACACGUGCUACAAUGGAUGGUACAACGAGUCGCGAAACCGCGAGGUCAAGCUAAUCUCUUAAAGCCAUUCUCAGUUCGGAUUGCAGGCUGCAACUCGCCUGCAUGAAGUUGGAAUCACUAGU
rnacentral:rRNA from 2 species